AGAUCUGCUCUUGUCAUAGCCACCUUCCAGACCUGUCACUGGGUCGUUCGGGUUCUGGUUCUGCUCUGCUAACCCCAGAAGCAAACAUGAGGAAGCAGCAUCCAGCUUCUAUGCUGAACAAAUCCAGAACAAACGUCCAGAACACUAGCAAACAGCUGAA